rnacentral:rRNA from 1 species
AGUGAACGCUGGCGGUAGGCCUAACACAUGCAAGUCGAACGGCAGCACAGUAAGAGCUUGCUCUUACGGGUGGCGAGUGGCGGACGGGUGAGGAAUACAUCGGAAUCUGCUUUUUCGUGGGGGAUAACGUAGGGAAACUUACGCUAAUACCGCAUACGACCUACGGGUGAAAGCAGGGGAUCUUCGGACCUUGCGCGAUUGAAUGAGCCGAUGUCGGAUUAGCUAGUUGGCGGGGUAAAGGCCCACCAAGGCGACGAUCCGUAGCUGGUCUGAGAGGAUGAUCAGCCACACUGGAACUGAGACACGGUCCAGACUCCUACGGGAGGCAGCAGUGGGGAAUAUUGGACAAUGGGCGCAAGCCUGAUCCAGCCAUACCGCGUGGGUGAAGAAGGCCUUCGGGUUGUAAAGCCCUUUUGUUGGGAAAGAAGAGCAGCAGGUUAAUACCCCGCUGUUCUGACGGUACCCAAAGAAUAAGCACCGGCUAACUUCGUG